CCUGAUGAACAAGUCUCAUCACUUUGGAGUCUCUGCGUACAUAGCCAGAAUGUCAAUCCUCCUUCACUUCCGAGAUAAACCGACAGCAGGAAAGCCAAAUUCUCUCCCUGCAACCCUUCAGACUCUAAGAUAGGCUUUUCUGGAGCAGUUUUGAUAGAAUGAACUCAAUGAGAUACUGCCUAAAAGAGGACCCCAGGAAGCCCCGAAAGAUGUCCUGGUAAAACACAAGUGAAACUAUAAACUGGAGGCCUAAUUAAGACCUGCUGUUUCCUGAAAUUUUGUGUGCACGGCUCUGGGAAGGAAAAGGAGCAUGAAGCUUUGCUGAAGGAGUCCGUGUAAUCGUAAGAGAAAAUCCCAGCAUUCUAGUCACUCCUUUCAGUCCUCACCUAAGGACCACAGUGAAUUUAUGUCUAUGGCAAACAUGAAAGCCCGCUGUGGAGUGGCUGAGGGAAAACUCAACUCAGCGCGAACGUCAUGCGCUCAGACUUCAGCUGCUCCCAGCCAAUAUUUCCAAAUUUAAGCUUAAACACCAUGAUGGAUCAUGCAAUUUUAGUCUUUUGACAUUUUCUUACAUAUUCCC